rnacentral:rRNA from 1 species
UGCCAGCCGCCGCGGUAAUACGGAGGGUGCAAACGUUGCUCGGAAUCACUGGGCGUAAAGGGUGCGUAGGCGGUUUUAUAAGUCAGGCGUGAAAGCCCUCGGCUCAACCGAGGAAUUGUGCUUGAAACUGUAGGGCUUGAGUUCGGUAGAGGGAAGCGGAAUUCCUGGUGUAGUGGUGAAAUGCGUUGAUAUCAGGAGGAACACCGGUGGCGAAGGCGGCUUCCUGGGCCGACACUGACGCUGAGGCACGAAAGCGUUGGGUAGCAAACGGGAUUAGAUA